CAUACCGCGUGGGUGAAGAAGGCCUUCGGGUUGUAAAGCCCUUUUGUUGGGAAAGAAAUCCUAUCGGUUAAUAACCGGUGGGGAUGACGGUACCCAAAGAAUAAGCACCGGCUAACUUCGUGCCAGCAGCCGCGGUAAUACGAAGGGUGCAAGCGUUACUCGGAAUUACUGGGCGUAAAGCGUGCGUAGGUGGUGGUUUAAGUCCGUUGUGAAAGCCCUGGGCUCAACCUGGGAAUUGCAGUGGAUACUGGAUCACUAGAGUGUGGUAGAGGGAUGCGGAAUUUCUGGUGUAGCAGUGAAAUGCGUAGAGAUCAGAAGGAACAUCCGUGGCGAAGGCGGCAUCCUGGGCCAACACUGACACUGAGGCACGAAAGCGUGGGGAGCAAACAGGAUUAGAUACCCUGGUAGUCCACGCCCUAAACGAUGCGAACUGGAUGUUGGGUGCAACUUGGCACCCAGUAUCGAAGCUAACGCGUU
rnacentral:rRNA from 1 species